UCUGUUGUUGAUGAGUUCUCCAUCUCAUCCAGUGUUUGAUGUUUUAUUUUCUCCUUUCUCUCUUACUACUACUUUAAAUCCUUCCUCUUGCUCUCAUUCUGCCCCAGGUAGAGUGAUAAGGGCUAAUGAACUAUAGAUUAAUAAUUCCUUAAAGCAUCCUUGAAUUUCAGAGUUGAGCACUUGGUUAAUUAAUGUAAGAUAUUUCCUUCCCUCAGUGUUUUCUUCUCUUAUUCAUCACCUCAAGAUUGCUAGUUACAAUCCAUGCAGGAAAGUGGCCACUGAGAAGCUUCAGAUGGUAGCAAAGUUACUGACUUGGAGCCUAAGAAAACAGG
rnacentral:lncRNA from 1 species